AUGGAUUUUACAUUCGCUUUGCUUGAUACUAUCACGAAGAGUUUCUCAGAGGAACAAAAAAUUGCCAGUGGUGGGUAUGGAGAUAUUUACAGGGCGGUGCAUAAUGGGGAAGAGAUUGCUGUGAAGAGGCUUCAUCAUUUCCAAGGACUUGAUGAUCAGCAAUUUCAAAAUGAAUUCCGUAACCUCAGCAAGGUCUCUCACAAAAAUGUUAUACGGUUAAUUGGCUACUGCUAUGAAUCACGGAGUAAAUAUAUGAAACACAACGGGGAACUUGUGUUUGCUAAAAUGAUGGAGCGACUACUCUGCUUUGAAUAUAUGCAGGGCGGAAGCCUUGAGAAAUACAUCGCAGACGAACCAUGUAGACUUGACUGGCCCACAUGUUAUAAAAUCAUUCAAGGGAUCUGUGACGGCUUAAAUCACCUUCACAAUGCACAGGAAAAAGCAAUUUUCCAUCUGGACUUGAAGCCUUCGAAUAUAUUGCUGGGUAAAAACAUGACUCCCAAGAUUUCAGGUUUUGAUUUGUCUGUUGAUUCAACAGAAGGAAUGGACCCGAUAGCGAUGAGAAGAGGAACACUUGAGUACAUGCCACCAGAAUACAUAGACAGCGGCAUCAUAUCAAACAAGUUUGACGUGUUCAGUUUGGGCAGCAUUAUUAUAAGAAUGAUGGACGGACAUGGGGGUCCUUACCGUUAUUCUGAAAUGUCUCCCAACCAGUUUAUUGAAUAUGUAAGUGAAAACUGGAAGAAAAGGUUGGAGAAAUUGUCGGAGCAUUCAUCAUACGAGAUGGAUAUCCUACAAGUGCAGGCAUGUGUUGAGAUAGCAUUUAGAUGCUUGGAAGCCGAUCGAAACAAAAGGCCUAGUAUAGAGGAAAUUAUAUGUGAACUGGGGUUAAGACAGUAA
rnacentral:rRNA from 1 species